rnacentral:rRNA from 1 species
AGAGUUUGAUCCUGGCUCAGAACGUACGCUGGCGGCACGCCUAACACAUGCAAGUCGAACGAAGUAGCAAUACUUAGUGGCAGACGGGUGAGUAACAUGUAGGUAUCUGCCCUUUGGCCUGGAAUAACACGAGGAAACUUGUGCUAAUACCGGAUAAGUCUUUACGGAGAAAGCUUUAUGCACCAUUGGAUGAGCCUGCACUUGAUUAGUUUGUUGGUGGGGUAAUGGCCUACCAAGACUGUGAUCAAUAGCUGAUUUGAGAGGAUGAUCAGCCACACUGGGACUGAGACACGGCCCAAACUCCUACGGGAGGCAGCAGUGGGGAAUCUUGCACAAUGGAGGAAACUCUGAUGCAGCGAUGCCGCGUGAGUGAAGAAGGCCCUUGGGUUGUAAAGCUCUUUCGUCGGGGAAGAAAAUGACUGUACCCGAAUAAGAAGGUCCGGCUAACUUCGUGCCAGCAGCCGCGGUAAU